rnacentral:rRNA from 1 species
AUGUACCCCCUCCGUUACUUCUUUCCGGUAGAACCCGAGACCGCACUAAUGCCACUGUGUACGACUACAUCGACGACGACCCCUCCUUGCCAGAGCAACCAGAUGCUGGAGCCCAGGAGCCCGACGCCAUCGUCGACGACGACUCCUACUACACCGGAGGUGCCUACUACUACGUGCAGGCCGCUGACGACGACCAGGAGUAGUUUAGGAGGAUCCCAGGCAGGAGGCCUGCGCCUCUUUCGAUCUGUAUCCCAGUUUGUGCUAGCCUUCUUAAGGCAAACUUGUUUAACUUAUGUCUAUACUCAGAUAUUGUUGCUUCCGCUGACUCGUCUAUGA